CCGACAAAGUGCGGAGCACUGCUUGGCCAAAGUUCGAUUCCAUUGUUUUCAACACAACCCUGCACACCGGUGCUGAUGUCCGAGGACACACAUUGACUAGGCCUAUCCAUGCUCUGCUGUGGUGAAAUUGUGUGUGGUGGUCGGAAUUGUGUCGGAAGCGAAAGUGCUCAGAGGUCAAGCAGCCCCCCAUGUGGUCUGGACGUAUUAGUGUAGGUAGUGUCUGAACUAUGUGCUAACAAUAGCCAUACAGACUAUCAUAACACAACAUUUUAAUCCAUCUAUUUGAGAAAAAGAAGGGAAAUUGUGUUGUUCACCACUUAGUAUGUUUGCCAAUGGGAUGUUUUCUGUUUCAGUGUCUAGUUUCACAACUGGUAUUACUGAACCAAUGACCAGAGAAGAGUUCAUGAAGUAUUACUGUUACUUCACACUGGACCCACGCACGGCACACAAUAGCCUCCUUCUGUCUGAGGGAAACAGGGCAGCGAAGAGGACGGAUGAGCCCCAGGUUUAUUCUGACCAUGCAGAGAGGUUCGAUAGCUGGCCUCAGGUGCUGUGUAGAGAGGGUGUAUCUGGUCGCUGCUACUGGGAGGUCGAGUGGAGUGGGGUGUGUGUGUCAGUAGCUGUGAUAUAUAGAAACAUGCACAGGAGAGGGGGAAGUACUAAGUCAGUGUAUGGAUGUAACGAUCAGUCGUGGGGCAUGGAACUUUCCAAAAGCACUUCCUUAUUCUGGCACAAAAAUAAAGAGACUAAACUCCCUCUUGUGGACAGCUCCAGAAUAGGAGUGUAUGUGAACCACUGUUCAGGAACUCUGGCUUUCUACAGCAUCUCUGAUGAUACAAUGAAUCUUCUGCACAAAGUGGAGACAACAUUCACACACAGCCUCUUUCCUGGGUUUAGAUUAAAUAAUAAAUCAUCUGUUAGGCUCUU